CCUACGGGGGGCAGCAGUGAGGAAUAUUGGUCAAUGGACGAGAGUCUGAACCAGCCAAGUAGCGUGAAGGAUGACGGCCCUAUGGGUUGUAAACUUCUUUUAUAUGGGAAUAAAACGUUCCACGUGUGGGAUUUUGUAUGUACCAUAUGAAUAAGGAUCGGCUAACUCCGUGCCAGCAGCCGCGGUAAUACGGAGGAUCCGAGCGUUAUCCGGAUUUAUUGGGUUUAAAGGGAGCGUAGGUGGAUUGUUAAGUCAGUUGUGAAAGUUUGGGGCUCAACCGUAAAAUUGCAGUUGAAACUGACAGUCUUGAGUACAGUAGAGGUGGGCGGAAUUCGUGGUGUAGCGGUGAAAUGCUUAGAUAUCACGAAGAACUCCGAUGGCGAAGGCAGUUCACUGGACUGCAACUGACACUGAGGCUCGAAAGUGUGGGUAUCAAACAGGAUUAGAUACCCGUGUAGUC
rnacentral:rRNA from 1 species